UUAAUUGAAGAGUUUGAUCAUGGCUCAGAUUGAACGCUGGCGGCAGGCUUAACACAUGCAAGUCGAGCGGUAGCACAGGGGAGCUUGCUCCCUGGGUGACGAGCGGCGGACGGGUGAGUAAUGUCUGGGAAACUGCCUGAUGGAGGGGGAUAACUACUGGAAACGGUAGCUAAUACCGCAUAACGUCGCAAGACCAAAGAGGGGGACCUUCGGGCCUCUUGCCAUCAGAUGUGCCCAGA
rnacentral:rRNA from 1 species